rnacentral:tRNA from 2 species
GCGAGGGUGGCGGAACUGGCAGACGCACUAGACUUAGGAUCUAGCGCCCUAGGCAUGAGGGUUCGAUUCCCUCCCCUCGCAAAU